AUACGGAGGAUGCAAGCGUUAUCCGGAUUUAUUGGGUUUAAAGGGUGCGUAGGCGGUUUGCUAAGCGGGAGGUGAAAUGCCGGCGCUCAACGUCGGAAGUGCCUCCCGAACUGGUGGACUGGAGCGACUCUGCCGUGGGAGGAAUGUGUAGUGUAGCGGUGAAAUGCUUAGAGAUUACACAGAACACCAAUUGCGAAGGCAUCUCACGAAGGGUUGAUUGACGCUGAGGCACGAAAGCGUGGGGAUCAAACAGGAUUAGAUACCCUGGUAGUCCACGCAGUAAACGAUGAUGGCUAACCGCUGGUUUAUUCGGAUCAGUGGCCAAGCGAAAGCGAUAAGCCAUCCACCUGGGGAGUACGACCGCAAGGUUGAAACUCAAAUGAAUUGACGGGG
rnacentral:rRNA from 1 species